CGCCCUUAGAGUUUGAUCAUGGCUCAGGACGAACGCUGGCGGCGUGCCUAAUACAUGCAAGUUGAGCGUUGGUACUUGUACCAAGAGCAGCGAACGGGUGAGUAACGCGUGGGGAAUCUGCCUUUGAGCGGGGGACAACAUUUGGAAACGAAUGCUAAUACCGCAUAAAAACUUAACACAAGUUUAAGUUGAAAGAUGAUUGCAUCACUCAAAGAUGAUCCCGCGUUGUAUUAGCUAGUUGGUGAGGUAAAGGCUCACCAAGGCGAUGAUACAUAGCCGACCUGAGAGGGUGAUCGGCCACAUUGGGACUGAGACACGGCCCAAACUCCUACGGGAGGCAGCAGUAGGGAAUCUUCGGCAAUGGACGAAAGUCUGACCGAGCAACGCCGCGUGAGUGAAGAAGGUUUUCGGAUCGUAAAACUCUGUUGGUAGAGAAGAACGUUGGUGAGGAAACUCAUCAAGUGACGGUAACUACCCAGAAAGGGACGGCUAACUACGUGCCAGCAGCCGCGGUAAUACGUAGGUCCCGAGCGUUGUCCGGAUUUAUUGGGCGUAAAGCGAGCGCAGUGGUUUAUUAAGUCUGGUGUAAAAGGCAGUGGCUCAACCAUUGUAUGCAUUGGAAACUGGUAGACUUGAGUGCAGGAGAGAGAGUGGAAUUCCAUGUGUAGCGGUGAAAUGCGUAGAUAUAUGGAGGAACACCGGUGGCGAAAGCGGCUCUCUGGCUGUAACUGAA
rnacentral:rRNA from 1 species